rnacentral:lncRNA from 1 species
GCUGAUUGUAUUGAGAACUUCGCUGAGGUUUCACCGCAUUAAUACUGACACUUGUAAAUGAAGUAUCAAGUAAGGUUAGCUCAUUUAUUAGCAUGGAACGCUGUGCUGAUUCCUUCUUUUUCCACUUUUCUUGACAUAGUAAAUUCCAGCCCCCGCCUCCAAAACCACUCUACAUAAACAACAGUGCGCGACUUUCCCACUUUGUUCCCUUGAUGACUCGAACUUCCAACCUCUUUGUUGGAAUUAGAGUGUUCUCGCCACUGGAGCAACCUCAACUGUCUUUAAUAUGAUAACAUUGUUACUCUCUUUGUCUUUCUGCUUUAUCUGAGAGGUGCUGGAUCUAUUUGUUUGCAGGGAUUUACGUGCAUCAGCUGUUAAUACAGGUUUUGGAGUUUGGACCUUACGACACUUGGAUUGUGCAUUACCUGUUUUUCAUUUCACAAAGAGAUGAAGAGGCAGAAAUCUCUUUUUCUUUAUUUUUGCCUACUUGUCGUCGUCUUGCCCAGUGUAGCGGUUCCUCAAAGGCUGUGGCAAAUCGUUUCAGUGGUUUUUAAUUAUUCUCCUUUGGCUCAUAGAAGGGUCCUAAGGCAUUAUUUUCUUAUAGGAAUUUUCUGGAUCUAUUUUUUUUUGCAGGGAUUUACGUGCAUCAGCUGUUAAUACAGGUUUUGAAGUUUGGACCUUACGACACUUGGAUUGUGCACUACCUGUUUUUCAUUUCACAAAGAGAUGAAGAGGCAGAAAUCUCUU